UGUGUCUUCCGAUCUGUCAAAGGUGUGCUUUGUGAAAUUCUGGCAACAACGAGGAUGGACUCUGGUAUGAACUGUAGGAUCAGGCUGAUUGUGAGCGUUCACGGGGAAACUUGAAUCAGAGCUGUGUCGAUCGCAUGCAUCGCUUUAUGUUCAGCUUACAUCUGUGACGCACACUCAUCGCGACGCUGCACAUGCAAGGUCGGUCCAGUAGGUGGGCUUACAGUACGGAAAACAAGCUGAAGUUCCCAGGCUUCAGUGUUUUGCUGGACUAGCUGAGGAGGCCUCUUACUUGGCUCAGUCCACCUUCGGGUCCCUCCUGGCUCCGGCCUCUGUAGAUUUAGACAUUGUGGGUUAUUUUUAACCUCUUGGCCAAGCUUUAAACUGUGAGGGGAAUAAUGGGUGUCUAAAAAAACCGUUGACGUUGUUGCACAGGAACGUGUCCAUCAGCUUUUCUUUUGUUUAGUACAGCAGAUGUGCCUGUAUAGUGCAGUGGUUAACACAUUCCCAUGACAAGGGUAAGGUCACUGGUUUAAUGGCUGGAGACAUCAGGAAGGGCAUCGGGCUCUGUGCAGUCAACAAUGCAACACUGACCCCUUGUGACAAAGGAGCAGCUUUUUACAACAGAUACUUGCUGUAUGUUUGGCCUGUAGUUGUCUUUACAUGCACGUAACAACAACAAGUAUGAAGAAAUCUAUCAUAGGAAUUGCUAUAAAUGUGGCAACACAAUCUAAAGCAAUGCUGUAAUAUCAAAUGAGCUCAACACAACAACCCAGUUGUGCAGUGUGUUGUCCUUCUAUGUGGGGGGCCAAUUUGAACCUUUUUGACAGACCUCAUGUAUUGAAGAAAUUGCCCUUUCUCCUUGGGGGCAGUUGGUCUUUCCUCCUCCUAACUUGUCACAUGAAGAUAAAUGACUUAAUUUGCAAAGGCAUGUGGCCCUAAUCUGCUUAAUUAGAACAAAUAAAUCCACCAGAUUGGUUAAAGGUCACGGCAGAAUUUACACAAACUGGCGUAUCAGAUCAAUCUAGCUGAUUAAUUGCCGGUUGUUUGCCUGCUGUGCCUUUGUCGGUGAAGUCGGUGGUUUGUUGGACGCUGAUCUUGUUCUGUGCGUGCGAGUUUGUGGCCCUGUGUUUGUUUAAGUGUCAUCGGCAAUAGAUGUGAUCACCCACGUCUGAGCUGUUUGUGGAUUUGUCUCCACGUGUGAAACCAUAAAUGAGACAGUGAUAAUAUUACACUUUACAUUCCAUCCAGGAGUUUGAAACUUGAGCUGCUAAAUCUACCAAUCAGUUGUGCUGUAUUAUUAUA